AUGCACUUUCUUCCCCGUCUUCCACUCUUCUUCCUCCUCUCUUCUUCUUCCUCCUCUCUUCCCCAUCCUCGGCCGCACACCAUUUCCCCCCUCUCAUUGCUCGCCCGCCCGCGCUAUCUUCCUUGCAGACGCAAAUGCGCUGGCCUUCAUGAUUCCAGGACCCGGAAUCAUACCAGCCGAUGGUACCAUAUAACUGGAAUUAACCCAUGCAAGUCGAAGAAGGAUUGGCCGGUGCUGCCGGCUGGUGUCAAGUUCGAUCCCACGAAUCAGGAGCUGAUCGAGCACCUUGAGGCCAAAGUGAGUGCUGACAGCGUGAGAUCUCACCCUCUCAUCGAUUUGUUCAUACCAACCAUCGACAGCGAGCACGGCAUAUGCUACACCCAUCCUGAGAAACUUCCAGGUAUCACACUGAGUGGCCUAAGCAAGCAUUUCUUCCCGCGCAAUUCCAGGGCAUUCAAAAGGGGCACGUGGAUGCGUCGCAAGAUACAGUCGGAGUGCGGCAUGCACGCGAUGUGGCACAACACCGGCAAUACCUUGCCGGUGAUGGUCAACGGCCGGCAGACGGGCAGCAAAAAGGUUCUGGUGCUGCACACCAACAAGAACUUCGACCAGCAGAGGACCAACUGGGUGAUGCACCAGUACCACGUCGGGGACCUGGAGCAAGAGAAGGAGCGGGAGCUGGUCCUCUGCAAGAUUUUCUACCAGACGAACACUAGGGCCAGGAGUAAAAAGAUUAUAAGUCGAGCAAGUUUCAACUGGGCUGUAGACUGCCCAGGCUUGGUUUUGUUUUUAACAGGCCCAGCCCAUGACGACAACGGGGCACAAAGAUCGAGCAGGUACUACUGGCCUCUGGCCCGCCAGCAUUAG
rnacentral:rRNA from 1 species